rnacentral:tRNA from 1 species
CGGGCUGUCGCCGGUCGGGGCGGCGGCGAUCCUCGCCCAGACCGGGGACCUGACCCGGUUCACCUCCGCGCGGGCCGUC